rnacentral:rRNA from 1 species
UACGUAGGGGGCAAGCGUUGUCCGGAAUCAUUGGGCGUAAAGAGCGUGUAGGCGGCUCGGUAAGUCCGCUGUGAAAGUCCAGGGCUCAACCCUGGAAUGCCGGUGGAAACUGUCGAGCUAGAGUCCGGAAGAGGCGAGUGGAAUUCCUGGUGUAGCGGUGAAAUGCGCAGAUAUCAGGAGGAACACCAAUGGCGAAGGCAGCUCGCUGGACCACAACUGACGCUGAUGCACGAAAGCUAGGGGAGCAAACAGG